rnacentral:sRNA from 1 species
AAUCGGACCAGCAGUUCUUGAGAUUAGC